rnacentral:rRNA from 1 species
CCUACGGGAGGCAGCAGUGAGGAAUAUUGGUCAAUGGACGCAAGUCUGAACCAGCCAUGCCGCGUGCAGGAAGACGGCUCUAUGAGUUGUAAACUGCUUUUGUACGGGGGUAAACGCAGAUACGUGUAUCUGUCUGCACGUAUCUUACGACUAAGGAUCGGCUAACUCCGUGCCAGCAGCCGCGGUAAUACGGAGGAUUCAAGCGUUAUCCGGAUUUAUUGGGUUUAAAGGGUGCGUAGGCGGGCGGAUAAGUUAGAGGUGAAAUCCCGAGGCUCAACUUCGGAAUUGCCUCUGAUACUGUUGGGCUAGAGAGUAGGUGCGGUAGGCGGAAUGUAUGGUGUAGCGGUGAAAUGCUUAGAGAUCAUACAGAACACCGAUUGCGAAGGCAGCCUACCAAGCUACGUCUGACGUUGAGGCACGAAAGCGUGGGGAGCAAACAGGAUUAGAUACCCGGGUAGUC